rnacentral:rRNA from 1 species
AAUGCUGACAUAAGUAACGAUAAAGCGGGUGAAAAGCCCGCUCGCCGGAAGACCAAGGGUUCCUGUCCAACGUUAAUCGGGGCAGGGUGAGUCGACCCCUAAGGCGAGGCCGAAAGGCGUAGUCGAUGGGAAACGGGUUAAUAUUCCCGUACUUGGUGUUACUGCGAAGGGGGGACGGAGAAGGCUAUGUUGGCCGGGCGACGGUUGUCCCGGUUUAAGCGUGUAGGCUGGUUUUCCAGGCAAAUCCGGAAAAUCAAGGCUGAGGCGUGACGACGAGGCACUACGGUGCUGAAGCAACAAAUGCCCUGCUUCCAGGAAAAGCCUCUAAGCAUCAGGUAACAUCAAAUCGUACCCCAAACCGACACAGGUGGUCAGGUAGAGAAUACCAAGGCGCUUGAGAGAACUCGGGUGAAGGAACUAGGCAAAAUGGUGCCGUAACUUCGGGAGAAGGCACGCUGACACGUAGGUGAAGUGAUUUACUCACGGAGCUGAAGUCAGUCGAAGAUACCAGCUGGCUGCAACUGUUUAUUAAAAACACAGCACUGUGCAAACACGAAAGUGGACGUAUACGGUGUGACGCCUGCCCGGUGCCGGAAGGUUAAUUGAUGGGGUCAGCGCAAGCGAAGCUCCUGAUCGAAGCCCCGGUAAACGGCGGCCGUAACUAUAACGGUCCUAAGGUAGCGAAAUUCCUUGUCGGGUAAGUUCCGACCUGCACGAAUGGCGUAAUGAUGGCCAGGCUGUCUCCACCCGAGACUCAGUGAAAUUGAACUCGCUGUGAAGAUGCAGUGUACCCGCGGCAAGACGGAAAGACCCCGUGAACCUUUACUAUAGCUUGACACUGAACAUUGAGCCUUGAUGUGUAGGAUAGGUGGGAGGCUUUGAAGUGUGGACGCCAGUCUGCAUGGAGCCGGCCUUGAAAUACCACCCUUUAAUGUUUGAUGUUCUAACGUGGACCCGUGAUCCGGGUUGCGGACAGUGUCUGGUGGGUAGUUUGACUGGGGCGGUCUCCUCCUAAAGAGUAACGGAGGAGCACGAAGGUUGGCUAAUCCUGGUCGGACAUCAGGAGGUUAGUGCAAUGGCAUAAGCCAGCUUGACUGCGAGCGUGACGGCGCGAGCAGGUGCGAAAGCAGGUCAUAGUGAUCCGGUGGUUCUGAAUGGAAGGGCCAUCGCUCAACGGAUAAAAGGUACUCCGGGGAUAACAGGCUGAUACCGCCCAAGAGUUCAUAUCGACGGCGGUGUUUGGCACCUCGAUGUCGGCUCAUCACAUCCUGGGGCUGAAGUAGGUCCCAAGGGUAUGGCUGUUCGCCAUUUAAAGUGGUACGCGAGCUGGGUUUAGAACGUCGUGAGACAGUUCGGUCCCUAUCUGCCGUGGGCGCUGGAGAACUGAGGGGGGCUGCUCCUAGUACGAGAGGACCGGAGUGGACGCAUCACUGGUGUUCGGGUUGUCAUGCCAAUGGCACUGCCCGGUAGCUAAAUGCGGAAGAGAUAAGUGCUGAAAGCAUCUAAGCACGAAACUUGCCCCGAGAUGAGUUCUCCCUGAGACUUUAGGUCUCCUGAAGGAACGUUGAAGACGACGACGUUGAUAGGCCGGGUGUGUAAGCGCAGCGAUGCGUUGAGCUAACCGGUACUAAUGAACCGUGAGGCUUAACCUUACAACGCCGAAG